ACACAGUACAACCAAGGCUCCAUAUAUCAGCAGGAAUUCCAUACCCUUGACCUUUCUGAUUGACAACCUGUAAUUCAACAGCUGGUGAUCAGAAUUCACAGGAAGACGAAAAACAUCAUUUAAGUCUGAUCUAAAUAAAAGCCAAUAGCUUUCAGAAUGGGUGAAAUGCCAUAAU